GACCAUAUGUUCAAAUAUGUCACAUCACAUUAGGAGUUGUGUAGGCUACUGUUAGAAAUUGAAUAAUUAGCCUGUAGCUGAGGUAUGAAACUAAAUUCUCACUUGUUCUUGCUUGAUGAAGAAUGAGACGAGACGGAGACGACCAAUGUCAUGUCAG